UAGGGUGCGUUUGGUUCGCGCUAUCUUUUAAAGAUUCCUAGUAAUCCAAUGGGAAUAAAAAAAUAUGACGGUGUUUGGCUAAACGCACUAAGUAAUCUAGUUGGUAAUAUUGGAUUCACUUGGGAAUAAGAUUCACCCCAAAGUACUAAUCUCAUUUCCUUGAGGGAGGAUGGGUAUCCUCAUAUUAAUGGAUUGGGAUAAUCAUAAUAUAUCUAAUCUCUUUCUUUCUUCCUACCCGCCGGCUAAUUGAUAUUAUUUUUCUUUACACUCUAACCUUAUAUCUCUCUCUAAACUUAUUUUUCUCUCUAAAAUUCAACUUUUUUUUCCUCUCUCUAAACUAAGCUCUCUCUCUCUCUCUUUCUAAAAUUUCAACUCUCUCACUCCCUCUAAUUUUGACUAUAUUUUUCUUUCUAUUUUUUUAAUUAUGCUCUCUCUCUAACUUAUACUCUCUCUCCCUUUUUUCUAAAAAGAUGUUGAAACUUUUGGUAACAUUAUCUAAAAUUAAUUAAAUAAAUAAAUAAAUAAAUUGUAUAUUUUUUGUAAUAUUAAAUAACAUGGCUAAUUAAUAUUACCGUGCGAACCAAAUACAGGAAUUCCACAUUCUUAGUAAUAGGAUGAAUAGGAAUAAGAUUCUCGGAUAUCUUUUAUUCCUAGUAAUCUUUCAUAAUGCGAACCAAACGCACCCUUAAAUCCUUGCAUAAUAUGGUCCCCGAUAACCAAUAAUUCAAGCUACAUGCAUGGCUCUAUCACCAAAGGCAUCAUGUCACACACCAUAAACCCAUAAGUAUACACAAAAAGAAACUUAUUGGAAUGAGGAAGUUCAAAACGUACAUUGCAUGAUAAUUUGCGAAAAGAGGCACAUCUAUUUCUAUUCUACCACAUUAAAGGAGGGUUACAUUAAAGAGAAUUUUGGAGACCAAAGAUUGACACGUGUCCCCUCAAAACCCUCCUUUAUUCUUUCUCUCUCAUUAAAGAAGGGUUUGGAGGGACCAAAGAUUAACACGUGUCCUUUCAAAACCCUCCUUUAUUCUCUCUCUAUACAUAUAAUUAUAUAUUAUAUAUUAAUAUAUUAUAAUAUAUACUAUGAUAUAUAUAGUAUAUAUAUCUAUAACUAUAUAGUUAUAGAUUAUAAUUUAAUUAUAUAAAUUUAAAUUUUGAUACUUUCAAAAUUUUAAAGUUUAAAUUUUAUAAUUUUAUAUUUAAAUUCUAAAUUUGAAUUUUAAUUUAUAACAUUUAUUUUCAAUUUUAAACUUCAAAAUUUAAAAUUUAAAUCUCUAAACUCCAUAAAAUUAAUUAAUUUUUAUUAAUAUAGAUGCAAUUUAAAUCACGUAAAAUAUUCGAUGUAUAAAAAAAUACAGAAUUUAAAUUUCAGGAGUAAAAUUUAUAAAAAUAUAAUGUAUACUAGGGGGGGUGUGUAUACUACUCAUGUAAUUUUUAUUAAACAGUUUCUUUUACAAUUUUAUUUUUCUUCUAUUUAUUGAAAAUUAUUUUGAUAGAUUUAUCUCAAAUCCUUUUCAUAUAAAUUUUUAUAAAAUAAAUUGUUGUAUAAAUUUAUUUUGCGCAUAUACGAAUUUUAAUAAAUUUUAUUUAAAUAGAUUUAAUUAUUAAAUUAUUUUUAUAUAACUUUUAUUUAAUUAAUAAUUAGAGUUAUAAAACUAUAAUAAAAAUAUUAAAAAAAUAAAAUUUAUUAUAAAAAUAAUUUUAUAUCCACAUCAUCGCGUGGUAUUUCACUAGUUUUAUUGAAGGCAUAGCUUUAUAAUGAGGACAAAGAGAUUCUUAUUAGUUCCUUCACUGGGUGGUCCAAGUCCACUCCCAUGAAACCUAAGCGCAAGUGGUAUAAACCUUUUAAUCUAAGGCCCCGACACCCUGACCCAUCACACCAAUCGUCUCUAGAGCAAGUAGCAAAGGGCUUGGUGGUUGGUACCCGAGACCCAAGUUCGAAUCCUAGUUGAUUCACAUUUCCAGUUAAGUUUAUUUCUAAAUGAAAUAAACGAAGCAGGUAGCGUGUUAUCUAUCUCUCUCCAAAAAAAAAAAAAAGAAAAAGAAAAAGAAAAAGAAAAAACGCCCUAGCCCAUCACCCGUCCUAUAUGUCUAUAUAUCUAGCACUUUUGACUAAGAGUCUGAUGAUUAACAUUCGAAAUUUUAAAAUUAGAGUUUAAUUGUUUCACUUGUCUAGCUAACGGAUCAGUUUAUUUCUAAAAUAUGAACGAAACAAAUAAGUUGUUUUUUUUACUGAAAAGAAAAACAUCAUGUCCAACCAAAAUCUUUUAAAGAGAGUAAUAUGUGGCCUAAUUCCACAUUGACUCUAAGCCACCGUUUGGUUCGGAAUUAAGUAAAAAUUUGUUAUUUCAGGAAUAGAGUUAAGUUCAGGAUUAAUAUGGGGUUAGAGUAAUUUUAUAUUUGAUUGAGAAUUGGGUUUACUUCAGGUAUAGAUAAAAUAGUGUUUGGUUAGAACAGGUGUGAUAAAAAGGAUAGUUGGUAAAAUAGUGUUUUAUUUGAUUGGAAUAGUGGGGUGGGAUGGAAUUAGCUAACCCCAAAUAGUGUUUUCCUUAAUUACUAAGUUUAUAUAUAUAUAUAUAUAUAUAUAUAUAUAUAUAUUGGGGCUCAACCGACUCUAUAUAUAUAGGAGGACUCGAUCAGGUGCAAACAAAGAAUAAAAUCAAAUAAGAGAAACUAGCAAAGUCAUGUUGAGAGAGGCGACUGAUGACGUGCAUUCGACCCCUCGUAGUCCGCCGCCACUGCCUGUCUCGGCUCCGCCCUCGCAGAUCCGCUCACCGUCGGUGGCGGCAUCGUGGUUUGCGAGGACGCCGUCGACGAGCGUGAGAGACUACCUGGAGGAGGUGGGCCACCUCGCCGGCGGUGGUGCCGACAAUCGCGAUGCGUGGCUUCCGAUCACCGAGUCGAGGGACGGGAACGCCUACUACUCGGCGUUCCACAUCCUGAGCUCCGGGAUCGGGUUCCAGGCGCUGAUGCUUCCCGUGGCUUUCACUAUCCUCGGAUGGUAUUAAUAUUUUCUUUUAAAAAAAAAAAUAAAUUUAGAGGAUCUAAAAUAUUUUCACACCAUUAAUUACUCUAUUACGAUGGACAGUAGAAAUAAGUUCUCGAAGAUUUAAAAACAAAACAACAAAGGAAGUCGAAGAAGUUUUAAUGUUAUACAUCUUCUAAUAUUUACUAAAGUGACUCGGAGUUGUAUAAUAUUAUUGGCCCCUUACUUUUGUAUAGGUUAGAUACAAAUAAAUCAUGCAGGGUUGUGCUAUGUAUGAAGUUACAAAAAAACAACCAAAGGAAUGGAAAAAUAUUUCUAUCCAAAAGUUAUUUUCAAAAGUUAUUUUAAAUAAAUAAAUAAAUAAAUAUUUUUAUAUACAUAUAUAUACACUUAUCCGAAAAGGUUGAACAAAAAGCACUCAUCAUGCGCGUUAGUGGUGUCCCCUACAUACUCUAUUAUGUGGCUUUAGGUGACGGGAGCAAGAUGACGCCAUAAACACGUCCCAAAAGGCAAAACAAAAAAAAAAUUCACAAAAAUAUACUAAAAGAAAUUUAAAAAAAAAAAAAACAGUAAAUUGCAUGGCCAAUGUGGGGAUUUGUCCUGUAGUUAACCCAACUCAAUCCUUUCCGACCGAGUCACUGUUUGACCCGAAGUAAUCAAUCUCAAUCAAAUCCGCAAAGUACCAACCAAUUAAAUGAUCCAAAAUGAAUGAAAUAUCAUUACUAGUAGCUACAACAAUUUGAGCCGUAUGAUGACGAGUUUAAUAUGUGCAGGGCAUGGGGAGUAAUUUGCCUCACCUUGGCAUUCGUAUGGCAACUCUACACCCUUUGGUUACUCGUCCAUCUCCACGAAUCCGUCCCCAGUAUCCGUUACUGUCGUUAUCUCCACCUCGUCAAAACCAUUUUCGGUAAUAAGCCCCUCCAUUCACUCUACUUGUUUGGCCUGAUUUAUAUGAUGUUCAACAGAUACUUUGAUAAGGUGCAAAGCUAUUAUACUUUCGAAAGUAUAAAAAAAGUUGGUGCUUUCGAUUUUUUAGUCUUAGAAUCAAAAAUUAUAGAAUCGAGAUAAUGGUGUUCCUUUUACUCUAGGAUAAUGAUAUUAAUCCAAAUAUCAGAAAUGAUCAAAAGGAUUAAUCUAAGGAACAAAAAAUUAUAAGCACCAACUAGUUUAUACUUUCGAAAAUAUAGUAGCUCUACUCUUUUGAUAAACAAAUAUUUUUCCUAAUUAGUCAUAUUUAUAUAAUAUUUCUGUAGAAACUUCUGCUUGAUCAUCACUCGUAUACAGGCCCAAAGUUAGGGAAGUGCAUGGCCCAGUUCCCGAUCAUGUAUCUCUCCGCCGGGACGUGCACCGCCCUCAUCGUCAUCGGCGGCGGGAGCAUGAAGCUCUUCUUCGAGAUCACGUGCGGUCCGGCACGCGUCUCGAGGCCGCUCACAUCCGUCGAGUGGUACCUCGUCUUCGUGUGCCUGGCGGUGGUCCUCGCGCAGCUCCCGAACCUCAACUCCAUGGCUUUCGUCUCCCUCGUCGGGGCCGCGACCGCCGUCCUCUACUGCACCAUGAUAUGGGUAAUAUCUGUGAGCAAGGGGAGGCUGCCGGAGGUUUCUUACCAUCCUGUAAGGGGCAAGUCGGACGUUGAUGGAAUGUUGAACGUGCUCAAUGCUCUCGGGAUCAUUGCUUUCGCUUUUAGAGGCCACAACCUUGUCUUAGAAAUACAGGUAUUCAAUCUAUCGUCUCUUUUAGUUUGUUUACAAAGGUCAUGUAUAUGUGACAAUCCAGAAAAGAGUUUAGAGAGAGUUGUCGUACCCAAACACCUCUUAGUAAUUGAACCAUCCUUUUCGCCCAACAUUGCUGUCUCGUCCUAUCCUAUCCAUUUCAGGCCCAAGUGCCGUCUGACCCGCAUAUAAUUUAUCUCCAUCAGAUUAGCUAGCAAUAAUAAUGUUGGUGCAUGCUUAUGUAUAUUUAUAUACGUUUUCAGGCUACCAUGCCGUCAACUCUGAAACGCCCAUCCCACGUGCCUAUGUGGAGAGGAGUCGGGGCUGCUUACCUGCUGAUCGCGUUGUGCAUGUACCCAGUAGCUAUUGGUGGCUUCUGGGCCUAUGGAAACCUGGUAAAGGAGAACAAAGAUUUUGUCUUUUUGAGUACUCAGAUUCAUCAAAUUUUCUCUGUUCUGGUGACACUGUCCAUAUGCUUGCUCCUUUUACUGUACUUAAAAUUUCUCUGCUCUGAAAAGCACUUUCAGCUAGCUAGAGCAAGAAGCUAGAAUUGGCUUCUGAACCCUGGAAGUGGGUGCUCGAAAUGACGCUUCUGCUUCUAGCUAGGGAGAAGCAAUUGAGAGGACCACGAUAAACAAGCUAUACGUUACGGUUCCUAUUCGCUGAACGUCUCGUUAUACUUUAUGCAGAUACCUUCAAACGGGAUCGUGAGUGCAAUGCACAAAUUCCACAGCCAUGACAUCUCCCGAGGCGUGCUCGGACUUACCACGUUGCUCAUCAUCGUAAAUUGCCUGAGCUCCUACCAGAUCUACGCGAUGCCGCCCUUCGACAACUUGGAGGCAGCAUACAUGAGCGUCGCGAACAAACCCUGCCCGCGAUGGCUCCGGUCUGGCUUCCGGGCUUUCUUCGGCUCGCUCACCUUCUUCGUCGCCGUGGCUCUGCCUUUCUUGUCGGAGCUCGCGGGCCUCCUCGGAGGGAUCGCAUUGCCGGUCACUCUGGCGUACCCCUGCUUCAUGUGGAUUCUUACCAAGAAGCCUAGGAGGUACGGUGGAAUGUGGUGCACCAACUGGUUUUUGGGAAGCCUAGGAAUGGGUUUAAGCGUGUUGUUGAUUAUUGGAGGGAUAUGGAGGAUUGUCGACAAAGGCCUCAACUUGCGCUUCUUUAAAGCAGCUCAGUGACAGAUGAAUUAUUAGAAGAAAAGAUGAAGUACCAGAAACCUUAAUGAAGACACGACGACACUGCGGCAUUGUUGAUAAACUAGGGGUGAUGUUCUCGUGAGAUGUAAAUCUAACUGAAAGAUCAAGUGACCGGUUAAAAUACUUUGAUGCAGGAAAAAGGGUGUGAACAUGAUAGACGUAGAGAGGAUCUGAAACCUGCCGGCAGACCUGGCAUUCACAACUGAGCGAGAAGAAUUUAAAAGCUUUCUUUAAAAGAUGCUAAAAAGAUGGAAAAUGAAUUUUCUGCCAAAAAAAACCUGCCUUCUAGGAUAUUUUCCAGGGAACCAGGCUGAAGAAAAGCUGUUGAAGUUAUAAAAGAAUUAUAAAAUUGAAGUAUUAUUGCUCUGCAAAUGAUAAGAGAAUAGAUUGCAAAAUAGAUUAGAAAAUCAAGGUGCAUAUAUGCAGUCUUUCUUUCGAGGACUUGAUAAAAUAAUACUUUGGUGCUCGAAGGCACUAAUAGUUCACAUUGUGCUAAGAAGGGGAAAAGAAAAAGGAGAAAAAAACAAAAAGUUCUAAUCUAGUAAUCUUACAAGAUCUUUGAGCACACUAAAGGACGGAACAUGUCCAUCAAAAACAAGGAACGCAGAUAUAGCCACCAAGCAUAAGCAUGGCACAUCUGGAUAGAAAUAAAGGAUACCAGGGCAGCAGAGAUACUUCUAUCGGAUAUUUGAUAGAGGGCAUAUAUAGUGACAAAAAUACAAAUGUUACAGCAAAAUAGAAAAGAAAAAAAGAAAAGAAAAAUACAACAAAGAACUUACAAGAAGUUUCAAAGAACGCCUAGCUGGCAUGUAUCAACAGCACCGGCAGGAAAUAAUCUCUCUCCAAGUGUAGGGUCGGGCCCUGGCUUGUAGUUCCUCCAUCGGGGGAACCUCUUCGAGGAUGUAGAAUUUCUCUCUCGAGCAGCAAAACGUAUACAGGUUUCUGCAAAUGCCCUUACUAAAUGGAUAAACCCUGUCAGGGACCCCCCUGCAAACGAAAACAUUUGAUAUCACUUCCUCAUUAGUAGCCUUAGCAAUGAUUAGUAAAAGUUAGGGCUCAUCCAAACGCUCCUAUAUAUCAUUACCUCAAGUAGAGAACGCGUUUUCUUCUUGCGAGCUCGUAGGUAGUUUGGUUUGUCAAAGCAAGAUAGCUGCACAUAAAAAGAAACCAGGAUGACUUCUCAGUGCAAAUUGUAGUAUGCUACCUGCUUGAAUAUUCAUCCGAAUAAAGAAGCUAGCGGAGGACUAUGAAAAGAAAAUUCAAUGUCCUUCAGAAUGAAUAAGAUAAAACAAAAUCAACCAUAGAUAACAACUGAAUAUAAAUCUUACCUAUGGAAAAGCAACAAUAGAAGCAAAAAUAUGAGGCAAAAGAUCAAUGCUGCUAACAGGAUUAUGCCAAGGAAAUCCUUCCACCUAAUAUGUCACAUAUGAAGUAUAUGGUUACAAUUUCCAGGUUGCAGAAAACCAACCAAAAUAUAAAAAAGGCUCGAGGGAAAAAUAUUAUGCGAUACUUGUUUAGUUCUUAUCACAGAAGCCCACAGCAACAACCAAGAAAAAUGAGAAAAUGGUGAAAGGUCAAACAACAAUUUAUGGUGACGAAAUAGGAGACUGUACCACUCUUUGUCGAUAUCUGACCGCAAGAAGGAAAUGUACAGAACAACAGUCCAUACUGACAGAAUUGUUUCUUCAAAGAUAUACCACCUAGAAAGCAACAAAAUCUCUAUUACAGCAUAAAGUAACACAUUACACGUAUUUAACAGGACUCAGUAUCUAAAAGUUCAUCAUACAUAACGAAAAGUAUCAAGAAUUGUAAACUCACCAGAAUCGACAAUGAUUCUUCAAGCCAAUGCAUGUUCCGAGCCAAACACAGUGAUGAUCAAACUGAAGGACGCAUUUAUCACAGUCAUGGCAAUGCUUAGAGCGUGGAGGCUGUAAAGGGAUGCAAAAUGUAAGUUCUGCUUCAGAAAUAUGUACAAAAGGAAAUACAGCCCUGAGAAUAUAAGAUUGUAACUAGAGUGAGGAACAUGAACAAAUGAUGAAACCAUUCCCUAAAUAAAUAUAUUGUAAACAGUAGGUCCAUUUUUCUUAGUCUACUAGAAAAGGAGUGGAGUAUAAAAACAAAACUAAGUGCAUGAAUAUUUUUCAAUAGUGGCAACUACAGGAAUUCACCCAACUGCAUACUCAGAGAAGCUACUGAUUCCUGUAAUGUCACAUUUUUUUAAAUGCUUUUUCGGGCACUCAACGGGACUGUAAAGCCAUUAAGCAAAUAUUAGAGAACAAGAAGGUAACUUAUAGAACAAUUCUACAUAAUCUAUAGAAGAAUAAAUGUGCUGAGAUCAAUAAGGUGGAACUUAUAGAACAUUUCUACAGAAUCUAUGGAAGAAUAAACAGUGCUUUCAUUAGUAAAAUCACACAAUGGUGCCAGAGGCAUCUAGUCACAACCAAUGUAAAUAGUAUUGCUUGAUAAGUCAGAACUUAAAGAUUCAAGUCUUGUUGUCAACAACAGUGCCUCUUGACAUGCAGUCAAUGAGGAUGGGUUUUUCCUGUAACUUCUAGAGUCAGUAUCAGAUUAGGAACUUCAUUUUGGAGCACAUUCACAGAAGAGCUGACAGACCAACAUGCCACCUGCUAGUAAUUCAAUAAUUCGUUACUAUAUACAACGUAUUUAGGCCCGCAAAAAAGUACUGAUUAAGUACUCAAGAAAGUGAGCAAUGUGCAUGCUUUUGAAAGGUUUCAAAUACUCAUGGACACAAUCCCACGUUAGAUAGCCAAUGAUUUGAUCCCUCAAAUAGACAUACCACAGAAGUGAAAGUGCAUAUUACAACCUACAAGCUAUAUAGGACUAACACAUCAAACAAUAACUUAAGAAUCAUAAGAAACAUAGAUGCCCUGGGAGAACGACACUAAGAACAUUUGCAUCUAUCAAAAUAAAAAAUUAUCCAAUAGCUUUCAAAAAAGAUAGAAUUAAUAGCAAAACCUGCUAAAAAUAUACAGUCCCUGUAAAACCAUAAGAGAAAAUUAAUUUGUUAAAUCAAAAUGACGGGGGAAAAAAAUCAAGAUAUAGCAACCAAAUAUGAUCAAAAUUUACCUGAAUGACAUUACAGUAAGGGCAAGUCCAGUCCCUGUCAAGGGGGAAGAGGUUAAAUGAUCAAAUUUUGAAUUUUAGACUUCAUAAUACAAUGUGCCACAGAAUAGCAGAUACUAGUAGGAAUCCUAAAAAACAAGAAGGAUAAUGAAACUAAGAAAGCUAUCAUUAUAGCAAGCUUUUUCACAUUCAAAAUUUUACGUGUUAAGACCUACUUUCCAAUGACUGAAUAGUGCUCGAUCAAAGCUGGCACUAUCAGACACUAAAGCACCAUCAAAGCUGGAGAAUCAAGAAAGGCAAAGCUAAGUCAUUCCCUGUCAUUAUUUCCACAUUAGCAUCCUGUUUCUGAAGCUCAAAUUUCAGCAACCACUACCACUACAUGGUAUGUCUUCCUCUUCAUAAUAGUUCUAGCAUUUCCUUAUUUAUUAAUGCAUUCUACCUACAUCUGAAAAUCAUGAUAAAGUAAAUAUGUACAUGACCUGGACAGCAAUUAAUAAGGGAAAGCAUAUCAAGGUUGCAUUAGGAGUGUCAGCUGAUACUUAAGGAAGCAAGGGAGAAGCACAGAAUCCUGUGCUCAAUAUACCGGCACCUUCUUACGGACUUUCUGCCCCUUCUAAGGGAUCUAUUAUUUAAUUACAGUACGCUCGCCAGCCUCUUUUAUCCCCCAUCAGUGACCAACUAUAGAAUAAAACUUUUGUAUAAUAAUUUAGAUAAUGACCAUUGAAAUGACCAAAAAGGAAACUCUAGGCUAUUGAAUUACUUUUAAACAGUUCCUUGGUUUGUCAUAAUUUUAUAUAGUACCUGCUAGAUGAACCAGGAGGGUACAGGUUCAUCACUUGCUGCAACCAUGAUGAUGAAUUUGUCCGUGAAUUAAGUCUUUCCAACUGAUUACGACUGAUAGGAGUCAAGCUUCCAUUUUUUGAAGUGGAUUGUCUUCUCUUAAUCGUCAAAGAAGAACAGCAGGAGUAAGAUCCAGAUCAAAGGAAGUGGGAAAAAAAAAAGAAGAGGAUCAAGCAAGAUAUAAGAUGAGAGCUCAACAUUACUUUGAAAUCAUUGAUGUAUUAAUAAAGGUAGCAUGCAGUUCACUUCCAGCUCUCAUUGCAUCGAUGACAUACCUGAAAGCACAAAAUGCACACGCACAUCACAGACCACCUAUGUCAAUUCUAUUGCAUGAUUUAAAAUGAUUUUGAAGUAAAACAGCAAGAAAAGAAAAAAAAACAAAAAGAAUGAGGAAUGACUAGCAAGUCCACUACCCUGGUGAUGAACCAGAUGCGAGGAUAUACUGAACUAGCGUAACCAGAAGAAGUACCAAGUAUGCUGCAGUAUACCUGAAAAUGCAAAAGAAUGAGGUAAGCAUACAAGAAAAUUGCACACAUAAGAAAAGAAAAGGACUGUAACAAUUAAUGUGAUCAUAAAAAUUCCCCAAGAGAUGAUCACAGGGAACUAUAAGCCAAGUCUUGACAUCAAAUGUUAUAGAAGAAUAUCUUUCGUUAUUCAGUGUUAAAAAUCAACAAAAGAAUGAUAGCACCCACUUCAGGAACCUCAUUGUGCAGAUGUCAUUCUAACCAGGAGUUGAAUUUACGACAAAGUGAGAAAUGAUACUUUAUGAUAAUAAUAGGACUUUUUUGGGAUCUCACUGAAAAAAUAUGAUGUAUUUGACAAAGAUUUGAAUGUUAAAACAUUACGCUUCUCUUUUCUUCCUCCUCUUCUUAAUUGGUUUGAGGCAGUUCUCUCUAUUCACCCUCAUUCAAAUACUUCCAUCUCAUUUAUCUUUCAAACGUUUCUCUUUUCUCCAUCUUUCCACUGCCCUAACUGCUUGCAGAUUGUUUCUCUAGCAAUUUAUUUGCUGCAAAAUUGCUGUGAAGUUUCAUAUUCCUUUCUACUGUAAUAAAAUUUACAAGAGAAAACUUCUGCAGCAAUUGCGACAUUUUAGGGCGACUUUAUCAACUUCAUACGAUUGUAAAACCAUUAAUAUGCAACAGUAAUGACAUAAUAUCACUCUAAGGCGGAAGGGCGGAAGGUGAAUGCAAGCAGGGUGACAAUGUUGAAAAUUUCCGAUGCCGGAGAAAUAGAUAGAACUGGAAAAAAUAACACUUCGUGCUAUCUUGACUGGAGAAAGCAUGAUUAUUGUAAAAGAAAUGUUUAAACAAGUUUAAGAACAGUUGUCCAAUCUAUGAAACACCUAGAGAUACAUUAUUAAUGCUUUCUAGGCAACAUAUAAUUGCCUUAGAUCAUUUUAUCCACAUUUUCCUGGAAUCGUCCAGGACAAGAUACCUAGCACCUCUGUGAAUCUUAAAGCAAAUAUAUAAUGCUAAAUAUAAAGUCCUUUUUACUCGGACCACGAAUUCGCAGCUAAAGUAAACAACUCAAUAGGGACACACGAUACACUGAGAAUAAUGCCCUACAACGUGAAAUUAAUAGAGUUCUCUUAAAGCAACGAAUUCAAGGAGAACGAGAAGUGGGAUCGCAACCAAACAGAAAAAAGAUCAAGAAAACGCUAGAUAAAUUGGCGGGAUCAAAGGGUACCACGGCUCCUCGCGAGUCCUCCGCACCAAAGUUGGAUCCAAGACGAACACCGUCCCCACGAAUACCACGUGAAGGAGCAGCAACAACGCCUUCAAUCCCCACGAAGAUCUCUUCGCUGGAUCCCCGAUCGGACCCCAGAAACCCCAAAUAAGACCAAAAUAAUAAGGGUUUCGAGAAUCCAAGAGAGAACACUACGACAUAGAUAUCGAGAUGGCUCGUACCCCGUUCGGCGACGCUGGGGCACAGCUCGGAGAUCUUCUCCCGCACCUCGCGUAUAGAGGUAGCUCGGAGAUCUGCGUCCGCCAUGGUCACCGACGCAUUCGAGAGCACCACCACCACCACCACCACCAAACGAAGAAGAAGAAGACGACGACGAAGACAAAGACGAAGACGCGGAAGAGACAGAACGGGGGGAUGAGGACGAAGACGCGUAUGGUGUACCGCAGGAUCAACGUACCGCGCGAUGAUGUUUCGCGAGGAGCGAGUUGUGAGUAUUGAUCGGAUCCUCUGAUUAGCUUUGGGCAGUUAGAUCCGCGAUUACGAGAGCGGAUAUACGGUGAUUAAAUUAGAGCCGUCGGAUCCGCGGGCUCCCAAAAACUGGUGAACCCAUCAGGUGACGUCAUAUGGUGGGCCCUAUUGAUGAGUUGGUUGGUUGCGGUGGCCCAUUGCUCACGGCCCAUCCGUUAUCAUAUCCAUUUGUUGCACAAUCUCCCACACUGAUAUAUUAUCUAAAUAAUAUCCGUAUCUACGGAUAAUAUUUUUAUUUAUUCAUUUACUUCUAUCCGUACCUAUAUCUACAUUAUCUACUCAUUUGCGUAACCAUCAAAAAAAACGUCAAAUUUGGUGGAUUAUGGAGGAAAUUUUUUUUGAAUCAGUCCCUCUCCAAAUGAUGGAAAAAAAAAAAAAAGCAAUAUCGGGUAGCAAAAUUUAAAUUCAAACCUUAUUAAGUGCAACAAACAUCGAGCAACAAAAAAAGAUAAUUUAAAUUCAAACCUUUAUUUACAAUUGAUUCAUCAUUUAUUAAAAUUUAUGCCCUUCCACUCUAGGGAGUAAAUUUUUAUUUUUUUUUUAUAGGGAUCAUACUGUUUUUGAAAUAAUCCAAACAGUGAAUGCUGGGGACGGUGAUUUAAAGCAGGUACAUGUGACAAUUUAUUACGAAAUUGACCUACUCAAAUGGAUCUUGUUUUUUUACUUGAAAAUUUGAGUUUCGACAUGAAUUGUAAAUUAAAACCUACAAAAUUAAGUGGAAAAAAUCAACUAUUAUUUCACCCAAUUCCGAAAGAUUGAAUACCCAAAAAAAAAUUAAAUUAAAAUUAAAAGUAAAAAAGAUAAAGAAACAAUCACAGUGUAUGGGCGAAAUUCAAGCUGGGCCCAACCCUUGGUAGUGGAUGGGCCAAAUUCAAGUUGGGCCCAACCCUUGGUUUUGCUGGUUCGAUGGGUCGACCCCUACAAGUGGGCCUUCUUAGUAUAAGUUAUGCAUGGAUUAAUUACUAAUAAAAAAAAAUAAUUAAUCUCAUCUGAUACAAAGCACAAAAAGGACUAAGGUUCAUAGAAUAAGAAAAUGUUAAAAUCUGGAAACUUAGAGAGAUAUAACAUGGGUCUAGAAGUAAUAAGAUAUAUCGAUCAUAUAAAUCAGUAAUCAUCAAAUAAAAUUAUAUGAGAGGCAAUUGCUUAUAUACCCCUUACUGUAAAUCUACUUCAUAUAUAUCUUUCCCUCACAAACAUCUUUCUCAAAUAUACCUUUUUAAAAACUCGAAUUCUUAUAAAUAAAUCCUUAAAAUAGUGGUAUAUAUAUAUAUAUAUAUAUAGAGUGAGGCUACUAUGCUAUCGGAAGCAUGGAGCCUUCCGUGCUUCCAGCUUGUUUUCGAUGUUGCGACUUUCGAAUCGUCGAUCGGCUCUGUUAAACUUGAUUUAGAGUAUUUGGAGUACGUAGAAAAAUAAAUUUUAUUAUUUUUCGAUAUCGUUUGCCUAGUGAUCGAAUGGCCUCAAAAUCAACAAAUUUCAAUGGCCGUAGUGAGCCGUUUGCAAGUUUAACGGUGNNNNNNNNNNNNNNNNNNNUAUGGGUACAUUCGAAAGAAAAGAUAAAUAAAAAAAUUUGAAAUAUUUAUUAAGGCACAGAUGUAAUUUUCUUAACUUUUCAAUUUUUAAUUUUUUUUUAUUAAUGAUAUGUUUUUCAAACCCAUAAACCCAAACCACUAGCUACAAUAAAUAGCCCAGUUCGGAUUUAAACCUACCCAUUUGAACUGCAGAUGAAUACCUACUCCACUUAUUAUAAGGUGAGCUAACAAUAAUUUUAAAGAUCUGACUUAUCGUCCCCAAAGCAAGUGGCAGAAAAUUUGAUGGUUGGUAUUCGAGGUCCCAAGUUUGAAUUCUAGUUGAUUCACAUUUUCAACUAAGUUUAUUUCUAAAUGAAAUAAACGAAGCGGAUAGUAUGUUAUCUAUCUCUCAAAAAAAAAAAAAAAUCUAUGUAUUGCAUAUUUUAUUUGUAAUUUUAAAUGAAGCAUACGAUAACGAUCAACUAAUAUCACUGUCUAGAAUAGUUGAUGAGCAUUAUAGCUUUGAAUUAAUUUUCACUUUGAGUGGGACGUGUGCGUGUUGUGACCUACUACAUAAGUAUGUUUUAGAAUAUAUAUUUAGGAGAUGAUGAUCAAAUUAAAGCUUCUAGAAUUUUGUAGAUAUUUUAUCUGCACUGAAUUAUGUGAUGAUCUACGGGCCACUUAUUCUUUGAUCAGUUAGCCAAUUCAAUUUAUGUUUACACAGCAUCCGAGGCCAAAUGCUUAGCUCCCAUUGGCCUUGUAAGAUGACUCUGCAUCUAAUGCCAAAUGCGAAUGAACUACUCCAACGUUACAUAUAUAUAUAUAUAUAUAUAUAUAUAUAUAUAUAUAUAUAUAUAUAUAUAUAUAUAUAUAUAUAUAUAUAUAUAUGCCAUGCUCAGUGUCGUUUUUCAUACAUACAUACGUGCAAUGUCACAAUUUUAUACUUUAUUUACAGCCAACGUAAAGAUUUAUAUAUAUUAAUUGUGCCGAUCAUCGUGAUAUCAUCACUAUCCAUAAUUUAUGCCCGACAAUUCUAUCUUGAAAAAAAAAAACAUUAAAAAUCAUCAGAUCUCAGGAGUUUUAGUGAAUAUAUAUAUAUAUAGAGAGAGAGAGAGAGUUUGGCUACUAUCCUCUUAAGAUGAUAGAAAUUUUUAUCCUAUCAAGUAAUUUUGGAUGAUAGGGACUUCAAAUUAAUAAUCGGUUGAUCUACAUUAUUAGAAAUAUUUAAAAACCGAAUUUUAUAAUUUUUAAAAAUUAUUAUCGAGUCCAUCAAAUAGUCGAAAAAUGAAUGGUAAAAAAUAAACGAUCUUAUGAAAAUAGAGAUUAGACUUUCUCAAUUUGUGAUCAGAGUUAUUAAACAUUAUCUAAAUGGUAUAAAAAUUUUCUAUCAAAAAUUCAACCAGUUUGGAUUACUCUAUACCGUUAAACAAACAAACGGCUCAUAUAGAUCUUCAAAAACCAACAAUUUUGCAAUUCUUUGGUCACUAUGUAAAUAAAUUUUAAAAUUUAUAAAAUUUAGUUCCUAGAUAAUUCAAAUACUUUAGAUCAACUUCAAUGGUUCAGAUCGUCGAUUCGGAAUCUCUAUUAUAAAAAAUAAUUUGAUAGGACGAAGGUCUCUAUCCUUUUAAAAGGAUUAGCAGCUGGAUUCUAUAUAUAUGUGUUUUUUUUUAGAAAUGAUUCUAUAUAUAUGUGUUUUUUUUUAAGAAAUGAUUCUAUAUAUAUGUGUUUUUUUUUUUUUUUUUUGAGAGAAGGUAGCAUGCUACCGUUUCAUUCAUUGUGAAAUAUAAACUUGGCUACAAAGUGAGGCAGCCAGGCCUCAAAAAAGUUAACAAAAUUAAAAUAAAACUAAAAAUAAAAAUACAAAUAAAAAGAGCAAAAUAGCGUACAAAAUUUAGGGACAGAAUCGAAGCCAAAGAUCUCUGAACGAUCGAAUCUUGGCUAAAGUACCGCAAAGCGGGUUCCUCCUGUUUUCGAAGAUCCUACAGUUCCGCUCGAGCCAAAGGGCCCACCAUGUAGCAGCAAUGGUCGUUAACUCUCUAUCUUCGUAUUAAACAACACAUAUAGGAGUGCUGGGGUAGCAAUGGGUGGAAGUGGAGGCAGAUCUUGGCUGGAAUGGAUUUGAAGAAUGGAUUUGAAUUGCCAUAGGGGGUCGGAAUGGAUUUGAAUUGUCAUAGGGGGCUAAAGCUCUUAUAUAUGUGUUGUUUAAUACGAAGAUAGCAUGUUAUUCAUUUCAUUCGUUUUUCUAAAAUAAACUUAGCUGAAAGUUUGAGUAACUAGAUUUCGAUUUUAGGUUGUCGAAUACCAACCAUCAAAUUUUUUAUAACUUGUGCAUAGAACGAUCGGUGUUUUGAUGGAUAACAGUGGCCAAGUUUUGUAGGUGAAAGAGAUUCGAAUCAAAAUAACUCGUGAUUUAGUAAAUAGACCAGGUAAGUCAUAUAUAUUAUCAGUAUUAGUUUAUAAUGUACUAGUAUGAAUAUUAUUUUUUAUUAUUAUUUUAAAUGAAGAGUAUUUCAUAAAAUCUAAAGUUAUUAUUACGAUGUACAAUGCACAUUGGCAUGCUCAGAAUCAUCAGAAUUCAGAAAAGCCCACAAGCUACUGGGACAUUAUUUUCAUAACCCCAUGUUCAUAGUAAACAAGUAAAAAAAAAAAAAAAAAGGAAAAACCUCUGAAGAGUUCACGAGAUCAACGCACCUUUUUGCAUCGAUCGUAUGAUGCGCAGGUUAAUUUUCCAAUGCUCAUGAUGCAUGCUAUAGGGACGAAAAAGACUCAUGGUACACUAACGCUGCUUAAGCAUGUGAUCGAGGCCCAGGAAUCAAGUGUUCUGUGUACCACAAAGUCAUGCAUGUUGGUGUUGCAACUUUAGAAAAGUUGGAAAUAUCACCCUAUUUUAAUUAUAUCUUUUGCUUUAACACUUGCAUAUUUGUUCAGAGCAUUUGGUUGGUAUUCUUAGUGAGAGUCAAAGUAUAUAUCCUUGCAUGCACACGGAAUGAGAAUAAGAAGGCUUGGGAUAUUUAAUUUGAUAUCAUAUAAAAUAAUCAUUUAUCUCAAUAUAUUUAAAUCUAACAAGAAAUAACAUCGUAUUUAUUCUGGAACACAUGCAUGCACGCAAUAUUCUUGGAUCAUCUCGAUCGGUUGAUAAUCACUCAAAACAGCAGUUUAGAAUUAUAGUUUCCACUUCCUUAAAGAGGAUCAUUGUUUCGAUUAAAGCAGAGGCAUGCGUACAUGCGAUCAAUAACCUGCACAAACAAGCUUGCCAGUUAAACAACUCAUUAGACAAUAAAAUAUGCUACAUAUAUAUNUAAAAAGAUGAAAAAAGUCAAAAAUGAAUAAGAUAAGAAAGCAACAUUGCCAUCCAAGCACACCCUUUUUUACACUAAUUUUAAUCAUUUCUUCUUUUACUUUAUUAUUAAGUGUUCAAAUAAAUUUGUUUAAAUUUUUUUGAUAAACAAUAAAGAUACAGAUAUAGAUAUAUACCAACUAAUUAAUAAAGUCGUUUGCUUAACGUACGGCGAGGGAAUGAGUUGGGGGGAUUGACUGGGGAGGGAAAGUGAGCCGACACCCAACCGACAGUUUGCUCGCCCGAGUGGAGAGGGGGAUGGGUCUCCUCCAUCUCUAAAAAUGUAACGCACCAACUCCACUUUGGACUCUUCAUUUUUGAACGGCAGAUAAAGUCGAAUCGCACUCCAAAACCCUUCGCCCCCACACAAAUUAACCGGCACGAAACGUUCCCUCUCACGUGACCACGUUCCAGUGCACCACCCCUUUAGUUAAUAUAUAUAUAUAUAUAGAAUUAGACUGGAAUAUUAUUAAUAGUAAAAUACUCUUUUUGCUAUCAAGUUUUUAAUUCUUGGAUUAAAAAUUGUAUGAUCAAGAUGAUAUUAGUCGGUUAGAGUUGAGUGGUCUCCCUAGGGUUGAAUGGUCCUCACUGGGUUAUAGUAUUUAAUUCAAUGGUUAGAAAUAAUGAAAAGAGUUGAUCCAAAGGCUAAAAAACUGAUAGCAAUAAUAGAAUUUUACUACUAAUAGUAGCCCAGUUCAACUCUAUAUAUAUAUAUAUAUAUAGUGAGGCUACUAUGCUUUCGGAAUCACGGAGCCUUCCGUACUUUCAGGUCGUUUUCAAUAUUGCGACUUUCGAAUCGCCGAUCGGCUCCGUUAAACUUGAUCUAGAGUAUUUGAAGUACUUAGAAAAUAAAUUUUAUAAUUCUUUGAUAUCAUUUGCCUAAUGAUCGAAGAGACUCAAAAUCAAUAAUUUUAAUGGCCGUGGUGAGCCGUUUACACGUUUAACGGUGUAGAAAUAUCCAAAUUAUGUGAAAUUUUGAUAGAAAAUUUUUUAUACUAUAUAAAACAAGAUCAAUAUUUUUGAUCUCAAAUUUUAAUGUCAUAUUAUCACGUUUUGUAAGGUUUUUAUUUUCAACAGUUGAUUUUGAGCCCCUUCAUUCAUUAGGCAAAUGAUAUCGAAAAAUUAUAAAAUUUAUUUUCUAGGUACUUCAAAUACUCUAGAUCAAGUUUAAUGGAGCCGAUCGACGAUUCGAAAGUCACAACAUCGAAAACGGCCUGGAAGCAUAGAAGGCUUCGUGCUUCCAGAAGCAUAGUAGCCUCACUCACACUCUCUCUCUCUAUAUAUAUUGAGUUAGGCUAUUAUUCUAUCGGUAGCACGGAGCGCUCCGUGCUACCAAGUUAUUUUCGAUGAUGCGGUUUCCAAAUCGACGAUCGGCUCCAUUAGACUUGAUCUACACUAUUAAAAAUAUUUAGAAACUAAAUUUCAUAACUUUUCGAUACCGUUUACCUAUCAAAUAAGUAAUAUAAAAUUGAACGACUGAAAAUAAAAAUCUCAUAAAAAAUGAUGAUAAAAGAUUUAAAUUCAAGAUCACAUAUACUGAUCUUACUCUAAAUAGUGAAAAUAAUUUUCUAUAAAAUUUUUAUCGGAUUUGGAUUGUUUUACACCGUUAAACUCUCAAACACACCACAUCGGCCAUUAAAAUUGUCAAUUUUGAGAACUUUUGAUCGCUAGUCAAAUGAUGUCGAAAAAAUCUGAAAUUUAGCUUCCAAAUACUUUCAAGUGUAGAUCAAGUCUAACGGAGCCGAUCGUCAAUUUGGAAGCCGCAUCAUCGAAAACAACUUGGUAGCAUGGAGCGCUCUAUGCUACCGAUAGUAUAGUAGCCAGACUCUACACUGUUAAACUUGCAAACGGUAUACAUCAACCAUUAAAAAUUGUUGAUUUUGAACCCUUUCGAUCGUUAGGUAAAUGAUAUCGAAAAAUCACAAAAAUUAUUUUCUAAAUACUUCAAAUAUGCUAGAUCAAGUCUAGCGGAGCCGAUCGUCGAUUCGAAAGCUCCAUCAUCCAAAACAGCUUAGGAGCACGGGGGCCUCCAUGCUCCUAAUAGCACAGUAGCCCUAUUCUCUCUCUCUCUAUAUAUAUAGAGAGAGUCUCUCUCUCUCUAUAUAUAUAGAGAGAGUAAGGCUACUGUGCUAUUAGGAGCACAACAGUCCUUGUGCUUCUAACUUUCUAACCACCCAUCAAGUUUGAUGGGUGGUUAGAAUAAGAGCGGGAUGAAAUAUGGGUGUCUCAAUUUCUCUUCUCCUUAAAUUUCUCUUCAAUAUUUCAUCCCUCUCUAAUUCUAACAAGUCAUCAAAUUUGAUGGGUGGCUAGAAAGUUAGGAGCACAAGGGCUGCUGUGCUCCUAAUAGUACAGUAGCCCUGCUCUAUAUAUAUUGAGAGACAGUAGGGCUGCUGUGCUCUUGCUAUUAAAACAUUACCAUCCAUCUAAAUAGAUGGAUAGCUGAGAUUAAAUUUCCUUUUAACUGGGAAACUCACUGUUAGAUGGGUUAAAGUUAACGGAUUUUUUCUCUCCCAUCUUUUCUUCUCUUUCUUUUUUCCUUUUCUCAUCUCCUUUGCGCGCGGUGCGGGUGCCAAAGGGUCGCGCCCGCGCUAUGCACGGGGGGAGGGACAGAGGGUUGUGUCGGCGGGGUUGGGAAGUUGGGUCGCACGGGGGUUGGCGGAGGCAGAGGCCGCGCACGCACUGGGGUUCGCCUCGGUUUGAGGGGGGAGCUUGGGUGGGCCGCGCCACUCGCACGAUUUGGGAGGGGCGGCGUGGCGGGUCGUGGGUGCGGAGGCGCAGCCGUUGCCCCUUGGCAGGUUGUGCGCGGCAAGGGUCGGGGAGAGUGGGGUAUUCUAGAAGAGGGGUUUGGGAAGAGGAGUUUGAUGAUUCUAUAGGAGAUGAAGAGGGAGCGAGAUUGGGGGAGAAGAGAAGAGAAAAAGCAUUUCACUGUAGAGAGAGAGAGAGGGAGAGAGAGCCUGCGAAGGAGACAAGAGAAAAGGAAAAAAAAAAAAGAGAAGAAAAGAGGAGAAAGAAAAAAUUUGUUAACUUUAACCCAUCUAACAGUAAAUUUUCAGUUAAAAGAAAAUUUUAUCUAAGCCAUCCAUCUAAAUAGAUGGAUGGUGGAUGUUUUAAUAGCACAGGGACUGCUGUGCUAGAGCACAGCAGCCCUACUCUCUCUCUCUAUAUAUAUAUUACUAAAGCACCCACACUACAACUUUUAUUAAAAAUAACAGGGAUAAAUGGCCCAAUAGUCCAAUAAUAGCUUUAACUUUGGCUAUUUUGCAAAUAGAUGUCAAACUUUUAGUUUUAAUAUUUUUAAAUUUUAUCAAAAAAUUUAACAAAUCUCUUUCCUAAGUAUAGUUAACAAUUGACAGAUUACUUAAAUCACAUGUCGUGUACACAAUUUUAUAAAAUUUUAGCAUACAAAAAAAAAUAUAUAUUUUUCUUAAAUUUUUUAUAAUUAAAUACGAGAUUUGAAGAAACUAACUUUAUUUUUUUCUUUCUUCUGUACGUUAGUAGAACAUUAUUAUAACUACUAAACUCGUCAGUGCAUCAUCUAAAUUAAACGUUUCUUUUAAGUAUUCACGAUUCUUUAUAUUUUUAUUACCUGCAUAUAAUUACUCUACAUGAUUACACGUGUCAACCAUCCGAACCGUUAGAAACGCUCCAAGUUUUGAACCCGCGAGUGCACCACACCCGUCAUAAGCCUCGGUAGGCGUUACAUCACAUGGCUUCGCGCCACGGCAUCCCCCCACCGACUUUCCGAACCCGUCCACCCGACGCUGACGUCGCGGGCCCCACGAAGCGUACUAUCUGACACGUGGAGCCAUUCUACUCGCUGUCGGCAAGACGAGUCCCAUUCCCCUCUCUCUCCCGAGGAAUUCUACACUGUCACACUUGCACCACGUCAUCAAUAACAAAUCAAUCACAUUCCUUCUUUUCAAACAAAAGUACAAUACAAAUAUUUUUUUACAAUCAUGAUGGGACAUAUAUUCUUAAAAGGAUUAAUUUGAUUGGUUUGUUACGCCACGUCACUAAUAUACCCGUUGCAUUCUAGAAUUUUUCCUCUCUCAGGCCAUGCCUCCACUGUCGGUGACAGCAUAGCUCAUCCCAGUUCCAUCUCUUCUGUAUCAAUUCCGACAGCAUAGCUCACCCCAGUUCCAUCUCNUUAUUUUUAUUAUUAUUAUUAUUAUUUAUUUUAUUUCCCUCUUUAUCUUUUUUAUUUAUGCUGCAACCCUUUUCCAAUUCGCGUCGGUUACGCGUAUUCAUGUAGAGGGACCCACGUAAAAGCUCUAUAUAAACCCACCGCCCCCCACAUUCUACAUCCGCAGUAACAGCGAAAUUCCACUUCCUAUCUAGCAAAAGCACUUCAUUUUUCGCUACACCACCACCUUUUCCUUUUUUAUUUUAAUUAAUUUUCGUUCUUUCUUUUGCGUUUUUAAAGUCCAAGCUAGCUUGUACAAUGGAGGAGGAGAGGAAUCAAAACCAAAGCGUGGUGAGUGGGGAAGAGGGGAGAGAGGUGGAGGUUAAAGACCGGGGUUUGUUCGACUUCAUGGGGAGGAAGGAGGAGAAGGAGAAGGAGAAGGAGAAGAUCGAAGAGGUGGAUUUGGUCGCAGGAAUGGAGAAGGUUCGCGUCGACGAGGUCGAGGACAGGAAGGAAGAGGAGAAGAAGAAGGAGGGCUUCUUGGAGAAGCUCCACCGCUCUCACAGCUCUAGCUCUAGCUCUAGCGCGGUAAUAAUUAAUAUCGCAUGAAUAUGCAUGUUCUAUGUCUAUUAAAUAUAUAUAUAUAUAUAUAUAUAUAUAUAUAUAUCAGUGUCGUAAAUAUACGGUGCUAACAUCCGUAUCUUUGUUUUGUGACGCAGUCGAGCGAUGAGGAGGAAGGAGGAGAGGGAGAGAACAAGGAGAAGAAGAAAAAGAAGAAGGGGCUAAAGGAGAAGAUCAAGGAGAAGCUCGGGGGCGGCGACAAAGAAGAGGAGCCCAAAGGAGAAGGGGAGAAGGAGACGGUACAGGUGGUGGCUCAAGAGGAGUUCGUAGAAGCAGUCCCCGCUUACGACGACGACACCGCGGUCACAGUGGAGGUUGUGGAGGGGACGGUGAAGCUCGACGGAGCCCCGGAGGGUGGUGAGAAGAAGGGCUUCUUGGAGAAGAUCAAGGAGAAGCUCCCCGGCCACAAGAAGCCCUGCGAAGAAGCAGCAGCCCCCACCGUCGAAACUGCGGCGGAGUGCGCCAAGGAGAGUCAUGAUACUGUGGCGGAUGCUAAUGAAGGGUCGAAGGAGAACAAGAAGGGCUUCUUGGGUAAGAUCAUGGAGAAGUUGCCUGGGUACAACAAGGGUGGCGAGGAGAAGGAGAAGGAAACCGAGAAAACCAGCGCUUGUAACUAGGUGUGGUUCAUGCAUGGUGAUCGAUCACCUGAUCAUCUUAAUUUUUAGCACAUGCUUGGUUUUGUUGUGGGUAUGUAUGUUUGUGUUUUGUGCAUGCUUGGGUUGUGUAGGUUGGUUUUGAUCUGCUUGGUGGGUCUCGUGAUAAUUAAGCCGUCUGCUACUUUUUUACUCUGAUGUUGUUUUUUUUUUUAUUUUUGGUUUUUUUUUUUUUUGUGCUGAAGCUGUGGUUAAAAAUGUGAUCGGAUAUAUGGUCGUAUUCUUGUACUUCUAUAUAUUCACUGUGAAUUAAUGCAUAUAUAUAUCAGUGCUUAAUUAUAACUGUUUAUUUAUUAAAAUUGUUGAUUCUAUUGAUAUAAGCGGGCGAAAUUUGUAGUGCGGUGUAUGAUUUAGAAUUGAGGGAAAGGAAUCUCUGGUGAAGCUCUCAAUGGGCUCUCCCGGAUGGCCCGGAACAAGUUUUACUAUCGCUGAGAUCAAGCCGUGCCGAAAAUUAUUGGGCCGGCCUGCUUGGUCGGUGUUGAGCUCAUUGUAAUGUAUGGGCGUUUUGGUACCUUAAUCUUUAGUUGACUGGUGAGUUGAAUUUUGGCAGUAUCGAAUUGGAAAUUUUGAUUUUCUUGGCCCGGCAAUCAUAAGUAGAUGCAAGUAAAUUUCAUGUUACAAACAUUCUUGAUUUUUCACUACUCAUUCUUGCGAGGCAAGUUAGUUCAAUGUACUCUACUAAAAUCGGGCAAAAAUUUCCUGGGCAUCGCCCCCAAACAAAUUGUUUGGGGACGAUGCCGAUGGGCGCGACCCUCAAAAACCCAAAAAAAAAAAAAAAAUUGUGAACUCCAUUUUUUAGAGAGAGAUAGAGAGAGAGAGAAGUUGGGGGAGGGGAGGGCGAGGAUGGGCGCGCGCGGGCCACGCGGUGCACAUCUGCAUCCUCCCCAAACUUUUGGGGAGGAUGCCCAUACAAUAUUUACCCACUAAAAUCAAAACAACAGUAGUUAGACAGUAAGUUGGAAACUUUAAAAUUCUUGCGAGGAAUUUCAAAAUGUUUGCUAAUCCAACUAAAAUCAAAAUCACAAGUUUUGCAGGGCAAAUAAUCAGAGGGAGUUUUAAGAUAACAUAGUGAAGAAGAUAAUCUUUUAUAUACUAAUAAGUAUGCCGAGUAAAAAAAGUAAAAUUAUUUUUUAACAAAUUAUUUAUUUUUUAAAAAAUAAAUACUAUUAGAUUAGAGAUGGAGCCUUGCCUUGUUAAAUGUAAAUUUUAUAUUUUUUUUUAACAAAGUAACUAAAACGAUUGUUAAGAAAGGGGGAGAGAAUCCAACAUCAUCCUCUACCUUAUCCUUUCAUCAUCACCACCAGAAGCCUCCCACAGCAAAAAAUUUCACCACCGCGUCUCCUCCUCUCACACACUCUUUACUCUGCUCCGAUGGAGGCCGUGGUCGUAAACCCCUCCCUCUCCCGUCUCAAGCUCCCUCCUUUAAAGUCCCAGACCCUAACUUUCCCCCGACCGAUCCCCACAACCUUAAACCCUCAUCUCCCCCGCCGCCGCCAUUAUCGCCUCCUCUUCGCCUUCCGAGACCAGUCCCCCCAUCCCCCAGUAGCUGCGGAUGAGGAGGAGGAGGAGGAGGAGGAGGAGGUGGGGGAGUACUACGGCGAGGUGAAUAGAAUCAUCGGGAGCCGCAGCGUGCGCGCCCCGGUGUUCUCCGACGACGGGUCGGCGACCGCGGAGGCGUCGACGGAGUACCUGGUCGAGUGGAAGGACGGGCACGCGCCGUCGUGGGUGCCCGCCUCCGGCGUCGCCGCCGAUGUGGUGGCGGAGUACGAGACCCCGUGGUGGACCGCCGCCAAGAAGGGCGACGCCGCGGCGCUCUCCGCCCUCCUCGCCGACCCCUCCGCCGCCCGCGACCCCGACGCCCAGGACCCCGACGGCCGCACCGCCCUCCACUUCGCCGCCGGGCUCGGCUCCGACGACUGCGUCCGUGCGCUCGCCGAGGCCGGCGCCGACCUCGACCGCCCCGACCGCGCCGGCGGGGGCCUGCGCCCGCUCCACAUGGCCGCCGGGUACCCCGUCAAAACAAAACAAAACAAAACAAAACAAAAACAGCCCUUUUUAAUUUAAAAUUAUUUCUCUAGCAUUAGCAUUGAAUCCAUGCUUUGGACAGAUACGGGCGCCCCGCGGCGGUGCGGGCGCUGCUGGAGGCAGGGGCGGAUGCGGAGGCGGUGGACGGGAGGGGGCGGACGGCGCUGGAACUGGCGAGGGAGGUGCUGGCGGCGACGCCGAGGGGGGACCCGACGGCGUUCGCGAGGAGGGUGGGGGUGGAGGCGGCGGCGGCGGAGCUGGAGGCGGCGGUGUACGAGUGGGGGGAGGUGGCGCGGGUGGUGGAGGCGAGGGGCGAGGGGAAGAGGCGGGAGUACCUGGUGGAGUGGCGGGACGGCGGGGAGAGGGACUGGGUCAGGGCGGAGUGGGUCGCCGACGACGUGGCCGCGGACUUCGAGGCCGGGCUCGAGUACGGCGUGGCGGAGGCGGUGGUGGGGCGGAGGGACGCGGCGGAGGGCAGGGAGUACCUGGUCAAGUGGGUGGACAUCGAGGACGCCACCUGGGAGCCGCAGGAGAACGUCGACCCGGAGCUCGUGCAGGAGUUCGAGCGCCAGCAGGCGGCGGCGGAUAGACCUGGCGGUGCGCCGCAGGAGGCGCUGCGGCGGUGGGCUGAGAAUUUUUGAUACAGCUGAUUCAUUGUAUUGUAUGCUUGUUUUCUAAACUUGAGUAAAAUUUAAAUAAUAACAGUGUAUUAAUUAGUCGAUUCUUUAUUUCAAUUGUCGGUCUUCAGCGAGAAAAUAUAAGCCAGCAUUGUGCUGUUCACCGUUGGCUAUUAUUACUGUGUCUAACCACCAAUUGUCCUGCGCACGGAAUUACUUACAAUAUGGGCUCCCACUGGGAGUCCCCCUGUUGUGAGUUCUAAUCAAAAUUGUAGCAAUUCUUACUUACAAAACAAGGUUGCAAGAGGAAGGAGUACAAUGUCAGAAUGUGCCGUCCUCGCGGCGGCGGAGCGACGACCAGAACGGCGGAAAUGUUUUUUUGACAUAAGCACAGCCGCCGCCACCAUAUGCACCGGAGAAGGGGAGUCGUGUGUGCAUAAAUGUUGACGAGUUUUAGCUCCACGAGAAGUUUUUCUCUCGUUUGUUUGUGCAUGUAUGCAUGCGCACACGCAUACAUGAAAGGAAGGUAUAGGGAGCCAUGCCCCAAUAAAUUAAACCCUUUUUAAAUCGCUCAAGUGGCUCUUUGGCUUCAAUUUUUGGUCUUAAUUUUAUAUUCAAAGUCAAAUCUAAUGAACUUAACAGAGAUAUUCGUUUCUUGCUUCGCAUAAAGAUAAGUAAAAAGACAAAUAAAUGAAAGAAUUAAAAAAAAAAAAAAAAACACAAUCCAUCGUGAAGCGUCGUGUUUCUCCUAUUGGGAGUGCGUGACAUUCACGUUUCACAUGUCACAAUAAUUGGGCUACGUCCGGUGAGAUUGAAUGUCAAAACUUAAUUUCUCUCUUAAAUAUCAUUUAAAAUAAUAUAAUAUGAAAUAAUCUUUGUUUCUAAAAAUUUAAAUCGUAAGAUUACAUAGGUUUUAUAUUUUACAAGAUUAACAACCUAAAUGUACAUACAAGAGAAAAGAAUAACAAAAUAAAAUAGAAGAAGAAUAAAAGAACACGUUUUAGGACGAGCAAAUUCAAGAAAAGUGAAAAAAAAUCAAAUAGGAAGGUAUUAAUUUUUACACAUAUUUAAGGUAUUUUUACAGUUGACGAAUUCAUUAUUGGACUACUCGAAUAAUUACUAAGAAUUACGGUUGACCAAUUCGACUUCUAAUUUUACAGUUGACAAAUUCAUUAGAAUAAAAUAACUACCACAAAAUUGCUAUCCAAAAUAGAAACUUUUGACUAAUUUAUUACCUUAAAAAUGUAGCUCUUAAGCUCUAUAAUUGGACGAAAAAAAUUAAGCCAAGUAAAAUGUGCAUCAAUAUAAUCCGAACAAUCAAUUGAUAAAAUACAGUGCAAAACAUGUGGAAGGACACAUUUUGAUGGAAAUGUGAGGCCACUCUUCUCCACGGCUUGUGGUUGGUUUUGUACAAUUUAUAUGGACAUUUGAACGUGCCAUAGUGUGUAAAAAAGGGCCACUCACAAAUCCUCAUACCACAAAAAAAUGGCGCUUCUUAUGUUCUUCGCCAUCACCUUCACGCCCAUGCUCCACGGCGCACCGCGAGUUACUGCUUGUGUUCCUGCGAUAUACGUGUUUGGGGACUCUUUAGCUGAUGUCGGUAACAACAAUCAUCUCGAAGUCGCGGAGAUAAAUAAGGCGAAUUUCCCUCACAACGGCGUCGAUUUCCCCGAUAGGGUUUCCACAGGGAGGUUUAGCAAUGGCUACAACGGCAUCGACUUCAUCGGUAUGUGAACUUAUGAUAUCACUUUUUAUUUGAUCUUUCGAAAUUUGUUGUUUCAUCUCAUUCAAUGCUUUCUCCUUGAAAUCUUUCGUUUUAUAAUUAGUUGUCUUUGAUCACUCAAUUGCUUCUUAUGUAUCGGUCGAUCGGGAGCGAAUACGAACUGAUUCAUAUCGUUUUAAGCUAAUGUGAUUUUUAAGUUAAACUAGUUUCAUUUGACAUCCUUGUUGAAGUUCAUUAUAUGGUUUUAGUUCUUGUAAUUUCUCACAAAAAGUGGUAAUGUUAUUACAACUGCACCUACAUGGUUAAAUGACUUUUUAGGUUUUGGAUUAUGACAAUAGUCUAUUAAACAUGGGUUAUAGAGACAUCAUUUUCCAAAUUUAACUAUGCAACCGUAUUGUUCGGUGUACUAUUUGAAUACAUGAAUAUAUUAUUCAAUGUAUCUCUCCGAUAUAUUUAAAAUUUUGUAUGUUUGGCUGACGAGUAAUGUAACCAAUGUCUAGAAUUGAAUACUAUAUUUGAUUUUUAAAUUAUUUUUUCAGAUAAAAUAAAUUAUGUUUUAUGUAAAAUAUGUUAUGUUACCAAAUUAUGAAUGAUAAAAUAUUUUAAAAAAUAAAAUUCAGACUCUUCUUUUACAAUUACACUAGAAAAUUCUUACACUGAAUAAUUGGGCCAAAGUGUUUUAGAACCGAGUCAUGCCAAACAACACAUGCUUAAUUGGACCCACUUUUUGACAAAUAUGCAUCUAAUCGCUGUAUUUUUCUUUUCAAAAUUUUGUUGGAGUAAAAAUCAAACCAUUUCUUUUAUUAACUUGUCAAAAAAUUUUCAUUUAGAUCAUUAAAUUCUAAGUUGUAGCAAUUGAGUUACUUUAAUAUUUUUAUUUUGGUCAGACUAUUUUGUCGAACACGUUUUAAUUUCUAUAACCUAAAUAAUGUGACAAUCAAUUCAAUUAUUAUAUCAUCUCAAAAAAGGAAAAAAAAACUGGUGCAAAAAUAUGCAAGUUGAUCAGAAGUUUAAUCAUCUCCGGAUUAACAAGAUUCAAUUGUCCCGACGCCAUUACGCAAUAAUGCGUCAAUUGAAUCAAUAUAUUUGUAUCAUCACGUCAACUCUUGAAAAUAAGGUGAGAGCUGAAUUAAUCUCACUUCAUCCUUCAAAUAAUAAUCUGAAUGAAAUUUGAUAUAAACAACCAAAUUGUGAUAGAAGUUAAACUUUAAUAAAUAAUAAUUCAAUUACAAUAAAUUACUAAAAUAAAUUUGAAGUAGAACCAUUUUAGUGGCCUCGAGCAAUCAUGCCACUUUUAAUUUACACAAAAAGAGGAGAACACAUCAAUUCAAAUGCGACAAAAAAAGUCCCAAAUGAUGGAAAGGACUAAAAAGAAAAAAUGGCACAAGUUGUGUCACUACCGGUACCAAACAAUCUAAGAAAACAGCGAGACAAUAUUACUUGCUACGAGUAAAAUGAAAAAUUAAAAAAAAAAAUCUUGGAGAAAGCAAAGGCAACAGAGCUUUUCUGAAAAGCUAAGCUGCUAUUUGUUUGUGAGGUUUGUCAAAUAUAUAAAAUUUGGUUUCUAGCAACUUAUAUUUAUAACGAUUUGACACAUUAGUAAUAAUAAUUCGUUAGACCUAAAUUACUAAUCCAAAAUAUUUAAAUUUAAUUAUUAUUAUUAAUGUGUAGGCCUUAUAUGACCCUAAGGGUGCGUUUGGUUCGCGCUAUCUUUUAAAGAUUCCUAGUAAUCCAAUGGGAAUAAAAAAAUAUGACGGUGUUUGGCUAAACGCACUAAGUAAUCCAGUUGGUAAUAUUGGAUUCACUUGGGAAUAAGAUUCACCCCAAAGUACUAAUCUCAUUCCCUUGAGGGAGGGUGGGUAUCCUCAUAUUAAUGGAUUGGGGUAAUCAUAAUAUGUCUAAUCUCCUUCUUUCUUCCUACCCGCCGGCUAAUUAAUAUUAUUUUUCUUUACACUCUAACCUUAUAUCUCUCUCUAAACUUAUUUUUCUCUCUAAAAUUCAACUUUUUUUUCUCUCUCUAAACUAAGUUUUCUCUCUCUCUCUCUCUUUCUAAAAUUUUCAACUCUCACACUCCCUCUAAUUUCGACUAUAUUUUUCUUUCUAUUUUGUUAAUUAUGCUCACUCUCUCUAACUUAUACUCUCUCUCCCUUUUUUCUAAAAAGAUGUUGAAAUUUUUGGUAAAAUUAUCUAAAAUUAAAUAAAUAAAUAAAUAAAUUGUAUAUUUUUUGUAAUAUUAAAUAACAUGACUAAUUAAUAUUACCGUACGAACUAAACACAGGAAUUCCACAUUCUUAGUAAUAGGAUGAAUAGGAAUAAGAUUCUCGGAUAUCUUUUAUUCCUAGUAAUCUUUCAUAAUGCGAACCAAACGCACCCUAACAGUCUCGUUGGGUCCAAAUUCUAUGGAUUCAAGAGAUGACUCUUAUCAAAUCCGUUGGUGUAACAUUUUGCCCUGCAUAGAGCUUAGUUCUUACACUUUCGACUGAUAUUUAGCUCUGAUACUAAUUAUAACAACCUGACCUGCUAGUAAUAGUAAUUCGUUGGAUUCAAACCACAGGUCCAAAAUAUUUAAGCUCAAUUAUUAUUAUUAACGUGUGAACCUCACAUAUUCUAAUCAGAAUUAUUUUUUCAUCCGAUAUGAGAUUAUUGGUAUGUUAUAAUAUUUGUAUCGUUUAUUUU
rnacentral:lncRNA from 1 species